CCUACGGGUGGCAGCAGUGAGGAAUAUUGGUCAAUGGGCGUAAGGCUGAACCAGCCAAGUAGCGUGAGGGAAGACUGCCCUAUGGGUUGUAAACCUCUUUUAUGCGGGGAUAAAGGUGUCCACGUGUGGACGUUUGCAGGUACCGCAUGAAUAAGGACCGGCUAAUUCCGUGCCAGCAGACGCGGGAAUACGGAAGGACCGGGCGUUAUCCGGAUUUAUUGGGUUUAAAGGGAGCGUAGGCCGGUCUUUAAGCGUGCCGGGAAAGUUUGGUGCUCAACCAUGAGAGUGCGGCGGAAACUGGAGUCCUUGAGUGCGCGGAAGGCAGGCGGAAUUCGUGGUGUAGCGGUGAAAUGCUUAGAUAUCACGAAGAACCCCGAUUGCGAAGGCAGCCUGCCGCAGCGUUACUGACGCUGAAGCUCGAAAGCGCGGGUAUCGAACAGGAUUAGAUACCCGGGUAGUC
rnacentral:rRNA from 1 species